rnacentral:ribozyme from 1 species
GAAAAAAAAAAAAAAAAAAAAAAAAAAAAAAAAAAAAAAAAAA